AGCGAACGUUAGCGGCGGGCCUAACACAUGCAAGUCGAACGAGAAUGAGGGGGCAACUCCUCUAGUAAAGUGGCGGACGGGUGCGUAACACGUGGGUAAUCUACCUUCCGGCGGGGGACGAACAGUCCGAAAGGAUUGCUAAUACCGCGUACGUCAGCGAGGUCUACGGAUCUUGUUGGGAAAGAUGGCCUCUCCUUGGAAGCUGUCACCGGAAGAUGAGCCCGCGGCCCAU
rnacentral:rRNA from 1 species